GCUCUGGUUAACAUUUAUAGACAGAUUUUAAAUGCUACCAACACAAAGAAAUGAAAAAUAUUUGUGAUUAUGGACAUACAGAGUACCCCACUAAUAUCAUUACACCUUAUACAUACGUAUUAAAAUACCACAUAGUCCCUCAUAUUAUGUACAUAAGUCAUUUUAUCAAUCAAAUGUAUUUAACUUUCAAAAAAGUUUUUUAACUUCACCAAGCACAAGAUCCCGUAUGGAAAUAAAACAACUACACAAGGUAGAAUGGGAGAAAUACAGCUUACCAACAGAUCAUAAAUAAAAUAGACGUAGAAUUUUUCUCCAAUAAGAAGUUCAAGGAAAAUUGAUGGGAUAUUAAGGUUACUAAAAGUAAUGAACUCAAAGCUGGACUGAUGGAAGAAUUGUAGGCUUUCAGAAGAGAGAGAAGCAAGGGUCCAGCUUUCCUGUGUUUCUUCAGUUUAUUUUGAAGUGGGUUCUGCUACUAAUCCCACAUUUUAAAAAAGUUGUAAACAAACUCAGGUAUAGUCAAAAGAAAGCAAAUGCCAAGAUUAUGGCACUGUAUUAGAAGUAGUAAAAAUAGCUGCUUAACAUUGGGAAGAUACACAAACAGCCGUAAGGGUAACUGUAUAGCUGUUCUCCGCAUUGAAAAAUUGCUACAAACAAGGAAGAUCACAUUCGUUUAAUAUAAACUCAAAUAGUAAAACUCGCAAGAGUGAAAAGAGGAAGAAUCACACAAAAAACUCCAAUCUUAUCAAGCACUUGUAGUAAUUGGAGCUAGGAGUGAACUGCUGUGGGAGAGAAUACAUUCUCUGUCCCUGGAUGAGCACACAGCCGAGGUAUUAUAAGGAUAUUCACAAAUUAGAUGGGUAGUUAGCAUAGAUCACUUAUCUCAUGAUUUUAUUCUAGACUCUCCUUUCUCACAGGAAACCAGAAGCAACUGAGAGGUGGCCCCUUUCUGGCCUGAGUGAGCAGAAGGCUGAUCAGGACUUAAGAGUGUCUACCCUGAGUUAGAAGAUUUGGGCACUUGUUGGAGUAGCAGCUCCUGCAGCACAGUGAAGGUGGAGGCAUUCUCACCAGAUACAGGCAUAUGGUGCCAUGAAGAGUACCUUUCUGGAGACUGAUUUGUUCAUCAAAUCAGGAAGAAAAGAGGCAAACUUCACUGAGGAGGAGAUCACUCCAUCAUCCAGAAUCAAAAUCAGUUCUGUUAGAAUUGAUCCACCACGCUGCUUAUGUCUGAACCCUAGCAGAAGAACUUUAGCUUUGGAUUUUCUAGAGAUUGUAUCCUUUAUACUUUAUAUACAUUUAUUUAUUAUUCAUUUGAAUAAAGAAAAUAUUACAUA